GGGUUCGAUUCCGGAGAGCGGUGGGCACCAAUUUGACUCAACACGCAUGGGUUCGAUUCCGGAGAGCGGUGGGCACCAAUUUGACUCAACACGCAGGGUUCGAUUCCGGAGAGCGGCGGGCACCAAUUUGACUCAACACGCAAUUCGACUCAACACGCAAUUUGACUCAACACGCAACUUGACUCAACACGCAAUUNGACUCAACACGCAAUUNGACUCAACACGCAAUNG
rnacentral:rRNA from 1 species